UUUGUUUUUAAAAUAACUACAGUGCUUUUAUCGAGUACACAGUUUAAACUGUACAAUCUAUAGCAACUCUCACAUUUCAUCAACUGACCCGAAUCAUAUUCUCAUGGCAGCUGGAGAAGGUGGGAGGACAUUGUCAAUGCCAUGACCAACUUUGCCGCCUUCAAACACAUCAAUGUGGUCCAUCUAUUAAAUCAUGAAUCUGUAUACAUGUCCGUGAUUAAAUGAAGCACGUUUCUUCUUUCUUUUCCUCUUUUAAUUCUUAAAUUGAUUUUUUCUUCUAUGCCCUUUACAUUGCCGUUUGACUUUUACUGUAUCCCAGCGUACAUUUGGAACUAGAACUUCGUGUUAUUUUUGUCCUAGAUUAUGUCCCCGUCAGCUACUCUUCUUUGCCCGCAUAGCUGCUUAAUUUUGUCUGCAUACCGUUUUACUUCUGUCCGACGAGUCUCCACUUUUCCGGCCGUAGUAACUAUGGGUGUCACGAUCUUGUGCGCGCGUUUCGAACCUGGUGACUCGACCUUGUGUGUUCAAACCCAGCGGCAGAGCUGUGCCCUGACCGUGUGGUCCAGCUCGUGCGCCCUGCUUGCAGGAGGAUAAGCUGGGGAGGAUUGUGUCGCACGUGAGUCAAAUCCUCAGGUGGAACUGUAAAGAACGCCCGCCCGGAGCUGCUGCAACACGCACGCACGAACUGGUGGUACCCGUGCCACGGAAUAGAUCGCAAAGUCUUUGCCACCCGCUUAUCGUAGUAAGGGCGUGAUACUCUGGCGGCACAGCACGCGAGCAGGUCCUAUAUAGGAAGGCCAGUCCAGUUCUCAAAUGCCUGAAUUCUCCUUUUCGUCUCGGCGAGCAGAGUCCACGUGAUGAAACAGGUUCUCAGCGGUUCAGGAAUUGGGAGUGUGUCGGGUUAACUUGUCUAUCUUCCAAAGUUAGGGCAACUUGACUCAUGGUGUCGGCAAACUAUUCCUGUUCGCUGGUUUUACACUCAAUCGUCUGCCGCACGAAGGCAAAUCGAUGAUAUAAUUGAGCACGUGUUCAAUGAUACAUAUGGCAGAGGCGAUAAGAGGAGACACAGCAUCUCAGUGCGUGCGUGUGUGCGUACGUGUGAAAGAGAGAAACGCGCGAGAGAAAUAUAUAGGGCUAGCUGUCAAUGUUUCGUGAAAAAACUUUUCAAAAGUCUGAAGAAGCAAAUUUAGAGACAUUUUUUAAAUCACUCCUAUGCAAUUUAAACAUGUACAAGCUGGGAACGAAAAAUAAAAACAACUUCA